AGGCAGCAGUAGGGAAUAUUGGGCAAUGGGCGCAAGCCUGACCCAGCAACGCCGCGUGAGGGAAGAAGGUUUUCGGAUUGUAAACCUCUGUCCUAUGUGACGAAGGAAGUGACGGUAGCAUAGGAGGAAGCCCCGGCUAACUACGUGCCAGCAGCCGCGGUAAU
rnacentral:rRNA from 1 species